CCUACGGGAGGCAGCAGUGGGGAAUAUUGCACAAUGGGGGAAACCCUGAUGCAGCGACGCCGCGUGAGUGAAGAAGUAUUUCGGUAUGUAAAGCUCUAUCAGCAGGGAAGAAAAUGACGGUACCUGAGUAAGAAGCCCCGGCUAACUACGUGCCAGCAGCCGCGGUAAUACGUAGGGGGCAAGCGUUAUCCGGAUUUACUGGGUGGAAAGGGAGCGUAGACGGCAGCGCAAGUCUGAAGUGAAAUGCCGGGGCUUAACCCCGGAACUGCUUUGGAAACUGUGCAGCUAGAGUGCAGGAGAGGUAAGUGGCCUUCCUUGUGUAGCGGUGCAAUGCGUAGAUAUUAGGAGGACCCCCAGUGGCGACGGCGGCUUACUGGACUGUACCUGACGUUGAGGCUCG
rnacentral:rRNA from 1 species